rnacentral:rRNA from 1 species
GACGAACGCUGGCGGCGUGCUUAACACAUGCAAGUCGAGCGGAAAGGCCACUUCGGUGGUACUCGAGCGGCGAACGGGUGAGCAACACGUGAGUAAUCUGCCCCUGGCUUUGGGAUAGCCACCGGAAACGGUGAUUAAUACCGAAUACGACCACUUCUCGCAUGGGAUGGUGGUGGAAAGUUUUUUCGGCCAGGGAUGUGCUCGCGGCCUAUCAGCUUGAUGGUGAGGUAAUGGCUCACCAUGGCUUCGACGGGUAGCCGGCCUGAGAGGGUGACCGGUCACACUGGGACUGAGACACGGCCCAGACUCCUACGGGAGGCAGCAGUGGGGAAUAUUGGACAAUGGGCGGAAGCCUGAUCCAGCAACGCCGCGUGAGGGGUGACGGCCUUCGGGUUGUAAACCUCUUUCAGCAGGGACGAAGCGCAAGUGACGGUACCUGCAGAAGAAGCACCGGCCAACUACGUGCCAGCAGCCGCCGUAA